GCUGCUCCGGCUCCGGGCAGGCGCUCGGCGGGGCCAGGGCUGCGGCUCGGCGCUUCCUGCAGCAGAAGGGUCAGGAAAAUCAGCCUUGGCCCCCUCCUUAGCGCGCCGCGUGGCACCCGGCCCACGCCCACGCGCGGGGAUUGGGGUGGGUGGGCGUCCGGGUGCAGCACCCCCUGCUGGCCAGGUGGGGCAGUGCGUGGGGAAUAUCGCUUCUGGGGGGCACUGCCCCUGGUGACCAGCUGGGGCAGAGCCCUGUGUGUGUCUGCCCCCCAACACUGAGAUAGUGACCCCUGCUGGCCAGGUGGGGCAGUGCGUGGGGAAUAUCGCUCCUGGGGGGCACUGCCCCCUGGUGACCAGCUGGGGCAGAGCCCUGUGUGUGUCUGCCCCCCAACACUGAGAUACUGACCCCUGCUGGCCAGGUGGGGCAGUGCGUGGGGAAUAUCGCUCCUGGGGGGCACUGCCCCUGGUGACCAGCUGGGGCAGAGCCCUGUGUGUGUCUGCCCCCCAACACUGAGAUAGUGACCCCUGCUGGCCAGGUGGGGCAGAGCCCUAUGUGUGUCUGCCCCCCAACACUGAGAUAGUGACCCCUGCUGGCCAGGUGGGGCAGAGCCCUAUGUGUGUCUGCCCCCCAACACUGAGAUAGUGACCCCUGCUGGCCAGGUGGGGCAGUGCGUGGGGAAUAUCGCUCCUGGGGGGCACUGCCCCCUGGUGACCAGCUGGGGCAGAGCCCUGUGUGUGUCUGACCCCCAACACUGAGAUAGUGACCCCUGCUGGCCAGGUGGGGCAG